GCGGAAGUAGCUCAGUGGUAGAGCACCACCUUGCCAAGGUGGGGGUCGCGAGUUCGAAUCUCGUCUUCCGCU
rnacentral:tRNA from 1 species